AUGGGCCCUAAAUCCAAUGACUCAUGUCUUUAUAAGAGAAGGGAAAGGAAGAUUUGUCUACAGAUACAAAGAAGACACAGGGAAGGAGGUCAUAUAAUGAUGGACGCCGAGAUGGGAGUGACAUAGCUACAAGCCAUGGCUUGCCAGGAAGGCCAAAGAGGAGAAAGAGUCUCCUUCUGUCCACCAAGUCAGAAACAUCAGUACGGUGUCAGCAUAACUUAUGUGGCCAACACGUGAACUCGUGCCAGAGUCCAGGCCACAAGAAGCCCUCGUCGGUGGGGACCGUUGAGCACAAAGGGUCUUUGCUGGCAUGCAUCCUGGUCUACCCUGCGGACUCUGAGCCUUGGUGAAAGAAGAGCAAAGAUUCAUAGAUUCACAGAUGAGAGAGAGAGAAAGAAAGCAAGCUACAGAGAAGCAGAGAAUGAAAGACUUGUAAAUCAUCCAUCCCUCAUCUUAAAGCCUAAGAAAGCCUCAGGUUUGGGGUUGGGUGUCUCCAAAGACCAAGCUACAAACCAGGCUAACUCUCCCAGUGUCAGGGAACAACUGAGGCAGGGAAGCAGAAAUUAUAGUUAGCAGUGAGGCUGUCAGGCCAAUGCUCACCUCUGAACACCGGUGUGCUCUAGCCCUGACUUUCACUGUGUUCCUACCUUGGGCUAUUCUAGGUCUUUCUCAUCUACUUUUGGGUAGGUUGGCUUGGAGCAAAGGCAUUCUGUAUGAGCUAUUUAUUGCAUGCUUACAGUGUGAUAGGCUCUGUGGGAGCUCAAUAAAAAGGCAAACAUAAACAUGUGGAAAAUUAAAUGGCAGUUUGAAAUACACAGAAGAC